GGUGCGCCUUAUGCAUGCAAGUCGAGCGAAGCUUUUCAGUAGUUUACUACAGAAAAUGACUGAGCGGCGAACGGGUGAGUAACGCGUGAGCAAUCUACCUUAGUUACAGGGAUAGCCCGAGGAAACUCGGAUUAAUACCUGAUAUUCUUUAAAUUUCGCAUGAAAUUAAAAGGAAAGGUCAGCCGAACUAAGAUGAGCUCGCGUUCUAUCAGCUAGUUGGUGAGGUAAAAGCUCACCAAGGCUACGACGGAUAGCUGGUCUGAGAGGACGAUCAGCCACACUGGGACUGAGACACGGCCCAGACUCCUACGGGAGGCUGCAGCAGGGAAUAUUGCGCAAUGAGCGAAAGCUUGACGCAGCGACACCGCGUGUGGGAUGACGGAUCUAGGUUUGUAAACCACUUUCAGGAGGGAAGAAAAUGACGGUACCUCCACAAGAAGCCCCGGCCAA
rnacentral:rRNA from 1 species